rnacentral:rRNA from 1 species
UAACUCCAGAAAGGUCAUGAAGAGACUGCAAGACUUGAGAUCGGGUGAGGUUAAACGUACUUUUAGGGUAGGGGUAAAAUCCUGUAAUCCCGGAAGGACGACCAGUGGCGAAAGCGUUUAACUAGAACGAAUCUGACGGUAAGGAACGAAGGCUAGGGUAGCAAACCGGAUUAGAUACCCGGGUAGUCCUAGCUGUAAACAUUGCCCAUUUGAUGUUGCUUUCCCGUUGAGGGAAGGCAGUGUCGGAGCGAAGGUGUUAAAUGGGCCGCUUGGGAAGUAUGGUCGCAAGACUGAAACUUAAAGGAAUUGGCGGGGGAGCACCGCAACGGGAGGAAUGUGCGGUUUAAUUGGAUUCAACGCCGGAAAACUCACCGGGAACGACCUGUGCAUGAGAGUCAACUUGACGAGCUUACUCGAUAGCAGGAGAGGUGGUGCAUGGCCGUCGUCAGCUCGUACCGUAGGGCGUUCACUUAAGUGUGAUAACGAGCGAGACCCACAUCUUUAAUUGCAAAUGUAUAUGGGAAUAUGCAUGCACUUUAGAGAAACCGCCAGCGCUAAGCUGGAGGAAGGAGUGGUCGACGGCAGGUCAGUACGCCCCGAAUUUCCCGGGCUACACGCGCAUUACAAAGAACGGGACAAUACGUUGCAACCUCGAAAGAGGGAGCCAAUCGCGAAACCCGUCCAUAGUUAGGAUUGAG